ACAAGUCCAAGAUUAUGCUUGUAGUCUAAGAAAGUUGUUAAGGCUUAUAAAAUCCUCAAAGUUAAUCAUAUUUGAACCAUUCUGACACCUCAGCGUAAGUAAGAAGUCGGAUCGAGAUCUAAUUAAGUGGCUUUUGAAAUGUGUUAAGGUAAUAAGGCAGACUUAGUCCUGGCUGUAGCACCUAUCUGUGAAGAACCUCACACUAAAGUGCAGUUCACUGUGCCACUGCGUGAAAUUACACUAAAAAAGGCUUUUUUUUUUCUCCCCCUCGUGCGCGCUCAUGAACACGCGUUCACGUUUGGCAGCUCCACGUCGACAUUCUUCCAGCUGCAUAUAGUGAACUGCACAGGACUCGGGGAAGAAAAGGUAAAAGCGGCGGUAGCCACCUUUCGAUCAGAGCGCUGCAAGUCCGCAGACGGACACCAACCGCAGAGAAAACAGGCGAUUGCACUUGAAUCCAGCUAUGGCCUGCAAUGUCCUGAGAUCGCUUUCUGCUUUUGCAUUUUAUGAUCCAGACUAUUUGCCCCUCGUGUUGGAUUGCAGCUGGUCCCUUGCGUCUACCUAUAUCAGGUUAAAGGAGCACCCAGUCAUGAGGAGGAUAAGGUUCUGCACAAGGACAAACCUAUGAGGUGGCACUGCGGCUUUCCAAAUAAAGUUCUGUGAUACACUUAGACUCUUAAUUGCUCGCAGUCAGUGCAUUACAGAACUUUGUUUUGGGAGUUAAUACUUUAACCUGUGGGAAAUAAAUCCUCAAACAUCUGGACAUUUCAGUUUACAGCAUGGUGCGAUAUUCCUGUUGACAAAUGACUGUUUUCUCAAAUAAAAUUUCUCUCUGUUUUAAGCA